rnacentral:rRNA from 1 species
UACGGGGGGGGCAAGCGUUGUUCGGAAUUACUGGGCGUAAAGGGCUCGUAGGCGGCCAACUAAGUCGGACGUGAAAUCCCUCGGCUCAACCGGGGAACUGCGUCCGAUACUGGAUGGCUUGAGUUCGGGAGAGGGAUGCGGAAUUCCAGGUGUAGCGGUGAAAUGCGUAGAUAUCAGAAGGAACAUCAGUGGCGAAAGCGGCUUCCUGGACCAGAACUGACGAUCAGGCACGAAAGCGUGGGGAGCAAACAGG